rnacentral:tRNA from 1 species
GCGCGGUUAGCUCAGUGGUAGAGCGUCACAUUGACAUUGUGAAGGUCACAGGUUCAAUCCCUGUACCGCGCA